rnacentral:rRNA from 1 species
UACGUAGGGGGCUAGCGUUAUCCGGAAUUACUGGGCGUAAAGGGUGCGUAGGUGGUUUCUUAAGUCAGAGGUGAAAGGCUACGGCUCAACCGUAGUAAGCCUUUGAAACUGGGAAACUUGAGUGCAGGAGAGGAGAGUGGGAUUCCUAGUGUAGCGGUGAAAUGCGUAGAUAUUAGGAGGAACACCAGUGGCGAAGGCGAUUCUCUGGACUGUAACUGACGCUGAGGCUCGAAAGCGUGGGGAGCAAACAGGAUUAGAUACCCCCGUAGUCCCUGAGCGGG